UCCGAGUUGUCCCCGGCAGUCUCAUAUGAGUUCCCACCAUUACGUGCUGGCAACAUACGACGAGGGUUGCGCUCGUUGCGGGACUUAACCCAACAUCUCACGACACGAGCUGACGACAACCAUGCACCACCUGUAACCGAGUGUCCAAAGAGUUCGCUAUCUCUAGCGCGUUCUCGGUUAUGUCAAGCCUUGGUAAGGUUCUUCGCGUUGCAUCGAAUUAAUCCGCAUGCUCCGCCGCUUGUGCGGGCCCCCGUCAAUUCCUUUGAGUUUUAGCCUUGCGGCCGUACUCCCCAGGCGGGGCGCUUAAUGCGUUAGCUACGACACGGAAACCGUGGAAAGGUCCCCACACCUAGUACCCAUCGUUUACGGCUGGGACUAC
rnacentral:misc_RNA from 1 species